UACGUAGGGGGCGAGGCGUUGUCCGGAAUUACUGGGCGUAAGGGCGAAGUAGGCGGCUAUACAAGUCAGAUGUGAAACACCAAGGGCCUCGAACCCUGGUACUGCAUUUUGAAACUGUGUAGCUUGAGUACAGGAGAGGAAAGUGGAAUUCCCAGUGUAGCGGUGAAAUGCGUAGAUAUUGGGAGGAACACCAGUGGCGAAGGCGACUUUCUGGACUGUAACUGACGCUGAGGCGCGAAAGCGUGGGGAGCA
rnacentral:rRNA from 1 species